UUGAACGCUGGCGGAAUGCCUUACACAUGCAAGUCGAACGGCAGCACAGGAGCAAUCCUGGUGGCGAGUGGCGAACGGGUGAGUAAUACAUCGGAACGUGCCCAAUCGUGGGGGAUAACGUAGCGAAAGCUACGCUAAUACCGCAUACGAUCUACGGAUGAAAGCAGGGGCCUCGCAAGAGCCUUGCGCGAAUGGAGCGGCCGAUGGCAGAUUAGGUAGUUGGUGGGGUAAAGGCUCACCAAGCCUUCGAUCUGUAGCUGGUCUGAGAGGACGACCAGCCACACUGGGACUGAGACACGGCCCAGACUCCUACGGGAGGCAGCAGUGGGGAAUUUUGGACAAUGGGCGCAAGCCUGAUCCAGCCAUUCCGCGUGCAGGAUGAAGGCCUUCGGGUUGUAAACUGCUUUUGUACGGAACGAAAAGCCUUUUUCUAAUACAGGAAGGUCAUGACGGUACCGUAAGAAUAAGCACCGGCUAACUACGUGC
rnacentral:rRNA from 1 species